GACGAACGCUGGCGGCGUGCUUAACACAUGCAAGUCGAACGGAAAGGCACUGCUUUUGUGGGGUGCUCGAGUGGCGAACGGGUGAGUAACAGGUGAGUAACGUGACCUUGACUUUGGGAUAACUUCAGGAAACGGGGGCUAAUACAGGAUAGGAGCUCCUGCAGCAUGGUGGGGGUUGGAACGUUUCGGCGGGUGGGGAUGGACUCGCGGCUUAUCAGCUUGUUGGUGGGGUAGUGGCUUACCAAGGCUUUGACGGGUAGACGGCCUGAGAGGGUGACCGGCCACAUUAGGACUGAGAUACGACCCAGACUCCUACGGUAGGCAGCAGUGGGGAGUAUUACACAACGGGCGGGAGCCUGAUGCAGCGACGCCGCGUGCGGUAUGACGUCCUGCGGGUUGUGAACCGCUUUCGCCUGUUACGAAGCGUUAGUGACGGUAAUGGAUAAAGAAGCACCGGCUAACUACGUG
rnacentral:rRNA from 1 species